rnacentral:rRNA from 1 species
CACGUAGGCGGUUUGGUCAGUCAGUUGUGAAAUCCCCCGGCUCAACCGGGGAACUGCAACUGAUACUGCCGGACUAGAGUGCGCGAGGGGAGAGCGGAAUUCCUGGUGGAGCGGUGAUAUGCGUAGAUAUCAGGAGGAACGCCGGAGGCGAAAGCGGCUCUCUGGCGCGCAACUGACGCUGAGGUGCGAAAGCUAGGGGAGCGAACAGGAUUAGAUACCCUGGUAGUCC